rnacentral:misc_RNA from 1 species
UCCUGGUUAACCCAGGCAGUCUCGUUAGAGUUCCCAUCCUAAAUGUUGGCAACUAACGAUAAGGGUUGCGCUCGUUGCGGGACUUAACCCAACACCUCACGGCACGAGCUGACGACAGCCAUGCAGCACCUGUGCAGAAGUCCCGAAGGAAGGUAUCAUCUCUGAUACUGUCUUCUGCAUGUCAAGCCUGGGUAAGGUUCUUCGCGUUGCAUCGAAUUAAACCACAUGCUCCACUGCUUGUGCGGGUCCCCGUCAAUUCUUUUGAGUUUCACCCUUGCGGGCGUACUUCCCAGGCGGCAUACUUAACGCGUUCGCUACGGCACAACCGGGGUUGAGUCCGGUUACAGCAAAUACGCACCGUUUACAGCCAAGACUAC